UACGUAGGGUGCAAGCGUUAAUCGGAAUUACUGGGCGUAAAGCGUGCGCAGGCGGUUUUGUAAGUCUGUCGUGAAAUCCCCGGGCUCAACCUGGGAAUUGCGAUGGAGACUGCAAGGCUAGAAUCUGGCAGAGGGGGGUAGAAUUCCACGUGUAGCAGUGAAAUGCGUAGAGAUGUGGAGGAACACCGGUGGCGAAGGCGGCUGCCUGCUCCUACAUUGACGCUGAGAUACGAAAGCGUGGGGAGCAAACAGG
rnacentral:rRNA from 1 species